rnacentral:rRNA from 1 species
CGGGACACGUGGUAUCCUGUCUGAAUAUGGGGGGACCAUCCUCCAAGGCUAAAUACUCCUGACUGACCGAUAGUGAACCAGUACCGUGAGGGAAAGGCGAAAAGAACCCCGGCGAGGGGAGUGAAAAAGAACCUGAAACCGUGUACGUACAAGCAGUGGGAGCACGCUUAGGCGUGUGACUGCGUACCUUUUGUAUAAUGGGUCAGCGACUUAUAUUCUGUAGCAAGGUUAACCGAAUAGGGGAGCCGAAGGGAAACCGAGUCUUAACUGGGCGUUAAGUUGCAGGGUAUAGACCCGAAACCCGGUGAUCUAGCCAUGGGCAGGUUGAAGGUUGGGUAACACUAACUGGAGGACCGAACCGACUAAUGUUGAAAAAUUAGCGGAUGACUUGUGGCUGGGGGUGAAAGGCCAAUCAAACCGGGAGAUAGCUGGUUCUCCCCGAAAGCUAUUUAGGUAGCGCCUCGUGAAUUCAUCUCCGGGGGUAGAGCACUGUUUCGGCAAGGGGGUCAUCCCGACUUACCAACCCGAUGCAAACUGCGAAUACCGGAGAAUGUUAUCACGGGAGACACACGGCGGGUGCUAACGUCCGUCGUGAAGAGGGAAACAACCCAGACCGCCAGCUAAGGUCCCAAAGUCAUGGUUAAGU